CUAGGUUAUGUUACAUAUUGUAUGAUAUGCCUAUUACAGGAGUAGAUUGGUGUGUUGACUGUGUUGAUGUAUAACAGGUUGUUAUGUUGAAUCAGACGUUGUAAACAGUAUUUGUAUGAAGUAGAUUUUAUUUAUUUUUAAGGCACUGGUGGUAUAAUACACUAACAAGUUUAUAAUAGUGUAUUAUUAUGGAUAUCAUUAUUUACUAGGCAGAUUAUUGAAAUCUACCUAAUCAGAAGAUUACAAAUGAGAUCGUCUGUAAGUGUGAUUCUGUCCAGUCCUACGCCGGAUACAAAUAUGUCUCACCCUGACUAUGAUCAAAACGCUCAUGAUCAUGCAACGUUGUUGGUUCUCGUCAAGCAAAUCGGUGAAGAAGUAACUGCAAAGACUUAUAAUAAGAUUUAUGAAAGAAUUGCCAAAGUGACGAAUUUGAAUAUAAUCGACAGUAUUGGUUUUGAAAGAAAUAUAAAGUUAAAGUACGUAAAAGACUACUUGGUUGGCAACAAUGACUGGGGUGAUUUCCAGACUCAUCGCAGGCUUUUUGGACUUGUCACCAUUGGGAAAUGCAGCACACAGGUAGAGCUGAACGAAGUGUGUAGAGUGCAUGAAAGCUUGAAAGUGAAGUACACAAGUACUCUGUACGACUCAAGAUGCAUUAUAAUUGGGGUCAACGAUGGCCCCAACACUCCAUCUUUCCCAACCCCUUCGAACUUCAAGAGUAGAGCAAUAUUUUGUGCAUCUGACGGGGAACUUGACGUACUUGAUUCAGAGAUCUUAGAGUUCCUAUCUACUCUUUUCUGGGUGCUUGAAUCCAAGCGCCAUGAAAGAUGUAGAGAGAAGAUAGACAAAGUUUCACUACUACUGGCACCGUUCGAGAGGAGAGACUUUGUCGGCCUGGAUAUGGAGUCUCGGAGUAACCGCAAGAGAAGCCUCGGCCGCAUGACCAAACAUCUCGGGGACCUGUGUCUGCAGGCAGGCUUGACGGCUGAUGCUCUAACUCACUAUCAGACUGCCAGUGACAUACUGCGCAGCAUUAAUGACUGGCUUUGGCUCGCUGGGGCACUGGAAGGCCAGUGUGCAGCCUCGGCCAUUAUUCACUACCCCAAUAUGUGUAGAUCCUCCCCAGUCAAGAAGAACUCCUCUCUACCUGAGACCCAGCCUAGAUCUAGUCAAGAUGGCAGGACAUCAAAGGAUGUGGAUACCUGUGUUUCAGAAACAAAACGUGUAACAAAUUUAUUAACACCUGACGAUAUUAUUAGAUAUUAUAGAGAAGCAAUCGUUCAUUACAGCAAGUAUCAGAACGCAAAUGUGAUCGAAACAGAAGCGUGCUACAAAGCUGCCAAGCUGGCCAUCCAGCAACACGCCUACCUGCAAGCUGCCAACUUCCUCCACAGUGUCAUUCUCAUCAACCUCGCGUUAAAUGAAGAGGAGAAGAUAGAGCGGCUGAUGAGUCUCUCUGAACUGUACACAAAGAUAGGGUUCCAGCGCAAAGCCUCGUUCUACCGCCGGCUAGCCGCAACUCGCUUCGUGUCUGCUCGGAACCCCCAGACCAACUGGCAACAGUGCUACAAUCUCAUGCUGCAGGCAUUGUCGGGCCACAAGCUGUCUCUGGACCCUGCAGACCACUCUCCUGAUAAACUAGAAGGGUGGCCUGGGCUGCAGAAACAAGUGCUGCAGGAUCUCGUGCUGGCAGCAACACGUGUGGGUCAGUCAGCAGUUGCCACACGACACAUGACGUUCCUGCUGCAGGUGAUGUGGGGACAGCUGACAGCAGCCGAGCGCCACGAGAGUGCGCUGCAGCUACAGUCGUUGGCCGCGCAGUGCGAGGGGGCUCCUGUGCCUCUGGUGCUCGAUUCAGGACUCGUCAUACCACCAGUCAAUCUGGUCAUGGUGCCGACCACAGAAAGCUUUGUUGUACAAAAUCUGAAAUCACAUUUGCGACCUGUAAAGCUAGAAAAGACGAAAGAGAAUUUUGGACCAUUUCUUUUUACCCCAAUUAACUUUGGUUCACUUGAAAGAAAAUCUAAUAAAGCCAGCAACAAAAUAGAUUACUUGUGGGUAGCGGAGGAGUUGUGCGAAGUGAAACUUGAACUGAGCAAUCCUUUCCCCUUUGAGCUGGAAGUGUCUAACAUGAGGCUGCUGACCAGUGGUGCUGUGUUCGAGAGUUUGCCACUGACCCUGACUCUGCCUCCCGACGCCACCAAUGUCGGGGUCACUCUAUCUGGCACUUCCAAGGAAGUGGGUCAACUAGAAAUUACAGGAUACUCAACACAUACUUUAGGAGUAAAAAGCAACUGUCGACUGAAAAACAUACCUAAGAUAGGAGAAUCCAUGUUUUCAGUCGAAGUUAUACCAGCCCUGCCGUUAUUACAGGUUAGUUCCCCACUGCCUACCAAGACUAAUAAUGGAGCCAGCAUUUCUCUCUACGCUGGAGAAAGCGUGGACUCUAGCCUAUUGCUGGAAAAUGUCGGUCAGUUGCCGAUACAGUGGGUGGAGGUGUCGGUGGAGUGUCUACAAGACUCUGAACAGGUGCUAAGGUGGGAUCUGGAGCCAUUAUUAGCACAACUACCUUUACAACCAGGUGCUGCCACUACUCUCCCCCUGCAUUUCUUUGGAGCUGCUAGCUUCUUGUCAUCUUCUAAUCCAGAUACAGCCAGUGUCAAGAGUAGUAUAUUCUCUGCUCCGAGUUCUUUCCUGUCCUCUACCAGCAAUCGGCCUGGGUUUCCUGAUCGCUUCUUGGCUAAAUCAACAACAUCUUCCUUCAAGUCUGGUGGAAGCAGCUUGAAUUCUUUUGGUUCGCAGUUUAGCAAGCUGUGUUUAGAAAACUCACCAAAGGCCCUGCAGUGUCAACUGAAAGUCCGCUACUCCAGUGAUCCGGGAAUGGCAGCCGGCUUCUGCCGUGUCGCCACAUUUCUGUUUUCUAUUGAAAUAAACUGCUCCGUCUUCGUUACGAACUGGGAUGUGAUCCCUGCAGAAACGAGUAGCCAGUUCUAUUUGGUGUUAGAUAUAGCGAACAUGACAAGCCAAGAAUUGGAACUUAAAUAUGGCACAAAUAAGAGUCUAUUGAUGGAAGAAAAUGAAUCUUGCCGCAUCCCAAUUCCAGUUGAACGAUGUCCUCUCACCAAAAUCGGGAAGCUAUUUAAAACGGGAGAAAGUGUGAGUGAUUUAAUGGAGCUGAACAAGUCAUGCAGCAGUCAUAUCGCUGCUCUAGUGGACUUGGAGUGGAGCCUGGUAGCUGGCAGUCGGUGUGGCAAAGCCUCUCUGCACGGCAUCACUCUGUCUCUCAGCAUGCUGGACAUUGUGCGCAUGUCCCCCAUCAGUUGGGAAGUGUCCGUGAAUGGGAGCCUGAUCGAGCCUCACGAAGAACUCAACAGCCAGGUCGGACAGAGUUUACUGUUAGGUUUCAAUAUUCUGAAUUCCCUGUCAUGGCCAUUGCACGACCUUGAGCUCAAAAUUCAGUUUUUUCAAGACCACCAGAAUGGCAUCACCAGCUACCAGCUGGACACUCGUGUCGCUUGCUCGGGUGCUACGUGUGUGCAGCUAGAGGAGGUGGCAGAGUUUGGAAGUGCCUACCACGAAUGUGUUGUAGUGUUCCUAACUCCAGGACAAUACAAAGUCAACAUUCAGUGCACAUCAAAAGAAAAACAUAUAUGGAAACUCAUUCCUCACUUGGUUAUUCAAGUUUCCAAGCCAUAAGCAAUUAAACUCUGGACCUCGUCUGUAGAUGACAAUGUUUAAAUGGUUCAUAAAUUGAAGAGCUAGAAAAGACUUGGAUACAAGGAUGGCCUACAGCAUUAUUUUUCUAUGUAUUAUAUUGUUAUAGUUUAGUAUUUUAUUUUUUUGUUAUUCAAAUGUUUUUAUAAAUAAAUAUUGAGGAGGUCUAUGUCAAAAUGAGGAGAUGAAUAUUCAAAUGCCAUUUUGAAGAAUAGUACUUGUUAAAGUACAGGGUUUGUACCUAAAACCAAGGUAUAAUAGUUUUAAAAUUAGUAAUAUUAAAUCAGUACAUUUUAUAUCAAAAUAAACAAAAGUAUUAAGUAACUUGAGAAAUUGUAAAAAACAAGGUAAAGUAAAAAACCCUUGCACACAUCCUUUUUAAGACGUGGUGUUAGCUAUGAAUUUGUACACCCUUUUUGCAUAGACAGGUAACUAUAGUGUACAUAAUUUGUUUGUAAACUGAAAAAGCAUAAAAAUAUGUUAUUGUGCUUUUAAAGAACACAUGAGGAAUAAUCAAUUCUUCGUCAGAAGUUUGAUUUUCCAGACAUUUGCCAUUGUUCUGUGAUACAAAAAAUUAGUAACUCUUUUUAUACCAAAAAAUAAGUAAAACUAUUUUCAAAAUCUGAAACCUAAUUUCCUCCUCAGAUGAAUAACUAACACAUAACACUAUAAUCUAGGUUAAAAUUUAAAAAAAUAAUACCAAAGCGUUGUGAUACGCAUAAGUCAGGAAUGAUAACAACCACGAUGGUGUUAACUCCAUGCACACUAACUCUAAAACAUGCACUAAAUAAACACCCAAAUGGCAAACGUCCGGAAAAAUCCUGUUUCUUUCAUAAUAAUCAAUAUAUUUAUUUACAUCUUCUUUGUCAAUUCUUUACUUACAUUGAACAUGUUGAGUGUGUAACCAAACUCAAAAUUAAUUUACAUUGAAAUAACAGUGUAGAACAAUUAAUUUGAAAACCAAACUACUGCCAAGGGUUGAUUUUGGUUCAAGUCAAUUGAAAUGUCUUUUAGUUUGACUUGUACAAAAGGAAUGUAUGAACUAAAGUAAGUGGUCACAGUUGCAAGUCUGCCUGAAAAUGGAAAACCUUUUUGAUCCUGUGGCUUUGCAGACAUCACUGUUUUAAGUUGUGUGACUACUUUUAGGUGACUGUAGUGGUAUGAUUUAUAAUAAAUGGAGUAGAAUACUUGUGAUAAUUCACUGAUGUUCACUAACGCUUGAAAUCCCAUAUGUAACAUCAUCAAACUCAAUGUCGCAUAUAUAAAAAUAAAGCUUCGCUGACACUUAGCCAAUAAAUAAGAACAUACACUCAAUGAUACUAAAUGUGAUUACAACCAAAACAAAACAUUACCUUAUUCAAUGUAGCAUGCCAUUUUCAAAGAUAUUCAAAUGAAAUUUUGCAUAAAUGUACACAAAAACAGUAAAAUGUAAUCUGUCAUCUCUCUAAUAAAGGUGAAUGCUAGUAUAUGCUUUUUUACAUAGGCCUUCUCAAUUAUGAAGUUUAUACAUUAAAUUUUGUUUUUUAAAA
rnacentral:misc_RNA from 1 species